rnacentral:rRNA from 1 species
UACGUAGGGAGCAAGCGUUGUCCGGAAUCAUUGGGCGUAAAGCGCGCGUAGGUGGCCCCAUAAGUCCGCUGUGAAAGUCAAAGGCUCAACCUUUGAAAGCCGGUGGAUACUGUGGGACUAGAGUACGGAAGAGGCGAGUGGAAUUCCUGGUGUAGCGGUGGAAUGCGCAGAUAUCAGGAGGAACACCAGCGGCGAAGGCGGCGCUCUGGGCCGGAACUGACGCUGAGGAGCGAAAGCGUGGGUAGCAAACAGG